GCUCGCUUCGGCAGCACAUAUACUAAAAUUGGAAUGAUACAGAGAAUAUUAACAUGGAGCCUGCACAAAGAUGCCUCACAAAUUCAUAGAGCGUUCCAUAUUUUU